UACGAAGGGUGCAAGCGUUACUCGGAAUUACUGGGCGUAAAGCGUGCGCAGGCGGUUUUGUAAGCCAGAUGUGAAAUCCCCGGGCUCAACCUGGGAAUGGCAUUUGGGACUGCAAGGCUGGAGUGCGGCAGAGGAGACUGGAAUUCCUGGUGUAGCAGUGAAAUGCGUAGAUAUCAGGAGGAAUACCGAUGGCGAAGGCAGGUCUCUGGGCUGACACUGACGCUCAUGCACGAAAGCGUGGGGAGCAAACAGG
rnacentral:rRNA from 1 species